UACGUAGGGUGCAAGCGUUGUCCGGAAUUAUUGGGCGUAAAGAGCUUGUAGGCGGUUUGUCGCGUCUGCUGUGAAAUUUCGGGGCUCAACCCUCGAAUGCCGAUGGAUACUGUCGGGCUAGAGUGCGGAAGAGGCGAGUGGAAUUCCUGGUGUAGCGGUGAAAUGCGCAGAUAUCAGGAGGAACACCUAUUGCGAAGGCAGCUCGCUGGGACGUUACUGACGCUGAGACGCGAAAGCGUGGGGAGCAAACAGG
rnacentral:rRNA from 1 species